GUCAAGCAAGGCCUGCCAGAAUAAUUUCCAGUCGUUCUAACAGGGGAUUCGCUUUGAUUUUAAUAUUUAUCUGGAGGUGUAUUCCUACUGAGAAGAAAAGGAUCAGUUACAUUAGCAUCCUUACAACACCACCAGGUUCCAUAGUUUGAUCAAGACCUCACAACUGGCUUGUUUGAAAAUAAUCAUAAUUUUAUAGAUAGUACUGGCAGGAAGUGGAAGAGACCGGGGCUAGCUGUCAAACGUUUCAGCCUGGUGAAUAUUUCUCAGGGUAUGUUUAUUAUUCAAUUUCUGUACAGGCACAUACUAUAAAAGAAAUUCCAUUGCUAUUGCCCAACAGGCCUGGCUCCACAGGGGGCCAGGGUUGGCCUGUCCCACCCAAUCAGGAGCUUGGCCACCCUGGCCCCACGCCAAACCAUUCAGCUCCAGAUUUUGAGAGAGGCUGCUCACUGCAGAGCUAUGAAGUCCAGCUCCUCCUCUCCAGAUGUAAUUUGGGCAUAAUUGGUUUAGAGAUAAGGUCCAACAACACCCUAACCCUGCCGAUAACUCUAUCCCUCCACCCAUUAGAUCGACCAAGGUGGAGCUGGACUAGGGGUUGUGUUGGGAGAAAAUCUGAUGUGUGUCAGAUCCAUGUAUUUGGUCUUAAAGUGACAGUAGCUUAAUAUGCCAGCUGCUGUCUUGUGUCAUAUAAUGUUAAUUAAAGAACAAAAUUGGAUUAAUAUUAAAUUUAUACAUUAUAGUAAUUCGUACCUGAAUACUGUUCGACCUACCAGAAAGUUUAUUAGAUUUUUAUUACUGACUCUUACUUGUCUUUAUUUAACAUUAUUUAUUAAAAAACUAUGUAUGUAUGUAUUUAUGUAUUUAUUUAUUUUUUGUGGUGGGGACAGUGAAAAUUUUGGCAGGGCAAAUAACCAGUAAAUCCCUUAGCAUUACUCCUCAAAAGCUCAAAGCUGGAGCCAGGCCUGUUAAAAUGUGUGAGCAACAAGCUCAUUGGCUGCAGAAGUGACAUGGACCAACCAGCUUGUACCAAGUAGUUAAUGCUGUAAUUAUCAUCAGUUUGUGUUGAGACUCA